rnacentral:rRNA from 1 species
CCUACGGGAGGCAGCAGUGGGGAAUCUUGGACAAUGGGCGCAAGCCUGAUCCAGCCAUGCCGCGUGAGUGAUGAAGGCCCUAGGGUUGUAAAGCUCUUUCGCAGGUGAAGCGGUAACCUGAGAAGAAGCCCCGGCUAACUUCGUGCCAGCAGCCGCGGUAAUACGAAGGGGGCUAGCGUUGUUCGGAAUUACUGGGCGUAAAGCGCACGUAGGCGGAUUGUUAAGUUAGGGGUGAAAUCCCAGGGCUCAACCCUGGAACUGCCUCUAAUACUGGCAAUCUCGAGUCCGAGAGAGGUGAGUGGAAUUCCGAGUGUAGAGGUGAAAUUCGUAGAUAUUCGGAGGAACACCAGUGGCGAAGGCGGCUCACUGGCUCGGACUGACGCUGAGGUGCGAAAGCGUGGGGAGCAAACAGGAUUAGAUACCCUUGUAGUC